AGAUUAAGUUAUUAAGGGCGCACGGUGGAUGCCUUGGCACUAGAAGCCGAUGAAGGACGUUACUAACGACGAUAUGCUUUGGGGAGCUGUAAGUAAGCUUUGAUCCAGAGAUUUCCGAAUGGGGAAACCCAGCAUGAGUUAUGUCAUGUUAUCGAUAUGUGAAUACAUAGCAUAUCAGAAGGCACACCCGGAGAACUGAAACAUCUUAGUACCCGGAGGAAGAGAAAGAAAAUUCGAUUCCCUUAGUAGCGGCGAGCGAAACGGGAAGAGCCCAAACCAACAAGCUUGCUUGUUGGGGUUGUAGGACACUCUAUACGGAGUUACAAAGGACGACAUUAGACGAAUCAUCUGGAAAGAUGAAUCAAAGAAGGUAAUAAUCCUGUAGUCGAAAAUGUUGUCUCUCUUGAGUGGAUCCUGAGUACGACGGAGCACGUGAAAUUCCGUCGGAAUCUGGGAGGACCAUCUCCUAAGGCUAAAUACUCUCUAGUGACCGAUAGUGAACCAGUACCGUGAGGGAAAGGUGAAAAGCACCCCGGAAGGGGAGUGAAAUAGAACCUGAAACCGUGUGCUUACAAGUAGUCAGAGCCCGUUAAUGGGUGAUGGCGUGCCUUUUGUAGAAUGAACCGGCGAGUUACGAUUUGAUGCAAGGUUAAGCAGUAAAUGUGGAGCCGUAGCGAAAGCGAGUCUGAAUAGGGCGUUUAGUAUUUGGUCGUAGACCCGAAACCAGGUGAUCUACCCUUGGUCAGGUUGAAGUUCAGGUAACACUGAAUGGAGGACCGAACCGACUUACGUUGAAAAGUGAGCGGAUGAACUGAGGGUAGCGGAGAAAUUCCAAUCGAACCUGGAGAUAGCUGGUUCUCUCCGAAAUAGCUUUAGGGCUAGCCUCAAGUGAUGAUUAUUGGAGGUAGAGCACUGUUUGGACGAGGGGCCCCUCUCGGGUUACCGAAUUCAGACAAACUCCGAAUGCCAAUUAAUUUAACUUGGGAGUCAGAACAUGGGUGAUAAGGUCCGUGUUCGAAAGGGAAACAGCCCAGACCACCAGCUAAGGUCCCAAAAUAUAUGUUAAGUGGAAAAGGAUGUGGCGUUGCCCAGACAACUAGGAUGUUGGCUUAGAAGCAGCCAUCAUUUAAAGAGUGCGUAAUAGCUCACUAGUCGAGUGACACUGCGCCGAAAAUGUACCGGGGCUAAACAUAUUACCGAAGCUGUGGAUUGUCCUUUGGACAAUGGUAGGAGAGCGUUCUAAGGGCGUUGAAGCAUGAUCGUAAGGACAUGUGGAGCGCUUAGAAGUGAGAAUGCCGGUGUGAGUAGCGAAAGACGGGUGAGAAUCCCGUCCACCGAUUGACUAAGGUUUCCAGAGGAAGGCUCGUCCGCUCUGGGUUAGUCGGGUCCUAAGCUGAGGCCGACAGGCGUAGGCGAUGGAUAACAGGUUGAUAUUCCUGUACCACCUAUAAUCGUUUUAAUCGAUGGGGGGACGCAGUAGGAUAGGCGAAGCGUGCGAUUGGAUUGCACGUCUAAGCAGUAAGGCUGAGUAUUAGGCAAAUCCGGUACUCGUUAAGGCUGAGCUGUGAUGGGGAGAAGACAUUGUGUCUUCGAGUCGUUGAUUUCACACUGCCGAGAAAAGCCUCUAGAUAGAAAAUAGGUGCCCGUACCGCAAACCGACACAGGUAGUCAAGAUGAGAAUUCUAAGGUGAGCGAGCGAACUCUCGUUAAGGAACUCGGCAAAAUGACCCCGUAACUUCGGGAGAAGGGGUGCUCUUUAGGGUUAACGCCCAGAAGAGCCGCAGUGAAUAGGCCCAAGCGACUGUUUAUCAAAAACACAGGUCUCUGCUAAACCGUAAGGUGAUGUAUAGGGGCUGACGCCUGCCCGGUGCUGGAAGGUUAAGAGGAGUGGUUAGCUUCUGCGAAGCUACGAAUCGAAGCCCCAGUAAACGGCGGCCGUAACUAUAACGGUCCUAAGGUAGCGAAAUUCCUUGUCGGGUAAGUUCCGACCCGCACGAAAGGCGUAACGAUUUGGGCACUGUCUCAACGAGAGACUCGGUGAAAUCAUAGUACCUGUGAAGAUGCAGGUUACCCGCGACAGGACGGAAAGACCCCGUGGAGCUUUACUGUAGCCUGAUAUUGAAAUUCGGCACAGCUUGUACAGGAUAGGUAGGAGCCUUUGAAACGUGAGCGCUAGCUUACGUGGAGGCGCUGGUGGGAUACUACCCUAGCUGUGUUGGCUUUCUAACC
rnacentral:rRNA from 1 species